AGCUGAUGCACGCGAUGGCUUCCUCCCAGGUCCAUCGUAUCAGCUGUUCCCCUCUGGAGGUUUUUGACCUUCACAAUUAAAGGGCCUCGGUAUUCCGAUGGCCCUAUUUU
rnacentral:sRNA from 1 species